rnacentral:rRNA from 1 species
GUAGGGAAUAUUGCACAAUGGGAGAAACCCUGAUGCAGCGACGCCGCGUGAGUGAUGAAGGCCUUCGGGUCGUAAAGCUCUGUCGUAUGGGACUAACAAAAUGAAGGUACCAUGCAAGAAAGGAUCGGCUAACUUCGUGCCAGCAGCCGCGGUAAGACGAGGGAUCCUAGCGUUGUUCGGAAUUAUUGGGCGUAAAGCGGGUGUAGGCGGGCCUGUCAGUCAGGUGUGAAAUCCCAGGGCUUAACCCUGGAAGUGCACUUGAUACUGCAGGUCUUGAGUGUGGUAGAGGCUAUUAUAAUUCUUGGUGUAGUGGUGAAAUACGUAGAUAUCAAGAGGAAUGCCGGAGGCGAAGGCGGAUAGCUGGGCCAACACUGACGCUGAGACCCGAAAGCGUGGGGAUCAAACAGGAUUAGAUACCCGUGUAGUCC